UCUCCGUUGGUGAACCAGCGGAGGGAUCAUUACCGAGUUUACAACUCCCAAACCCAAUGUGAACCAUACCAAACUGUUGCCUCGGCGGGGUCACGCCCCGCGUGCGUCGCAGCCCCGGAACCAGGCGCCCGCCGGAGGGACCAACCAAACUCUUUCUGUAGUCCCCUCGCGGACGUUAUUUUUACAGCUCUGAGCAAAAAUUCAAAAUGAAUCAAAACUUUCAACAACGGAUCUCUUGGUUCUG
rnacentral:misc_RNA from 1 species